GCUUGCUCUCCGGUGAUGUGCGUUUGACGGGUGAGUAAUGGGUGGGAAAAUGCCUGGCGGCGGGGGAUAACUACUGGCAAUGGUGCCGUGAACGUAUAAAGNCUCAAGACCAUANNGGGGGACCUUCGGGCCUCAUGCCAUCGGAUGUGCCCAGAUGGGAUUAGGNGNAGGUGGGGUAACGGCUCACCUAGGCGACGAUCCCUAGCUGGUCUGAGAGGAUGACCAGCCACACUGGAACUGAGACACGGUCCAGACUCCUACGGGAGGCAGCAGUGGGGAAUAUUGCACAAUGGGCGCAAGCCUGAUGCAGCCAUGCCGCGUGUGUGAAGAAGGCCUUCGGGUUGUAAAGCACUUUCAGCGGGGAGGAAGGCGAUAAGGUUAAUAACCUUGUCGAUUGACGUUACCCGCAGAAGAAGCACCGGNNAACUCCGUGCCAGCAGCCGCGGUAAUACGGAGGGUGNNAGCGUUAAUCGGAAUUACUGGGCGUAAAGCGCACGCAGGCGGUCUGUCAAGUCGGAUGUGAAAUCCCCGGGCUCAACCUGGGAACUGCAUUCGAAACUGGCAGGCUAGAGUCUUGUAGAGGGGGGUAGAAUUCCAGGUGUAGCGGUGAAAUGCGUAGAGAUCUGGAGGAAUACCGGUGGCGAAGGCGGCCCCCUGGACAAAGACUGACGCUCAGGUGCGAAAGCGUGGGGAGCAAACAGGAUUAGAUACCCUGGUAGUCCACGCCGUAAACGAUGUCGAUUUGGAGGUUGUGCCCUUGAGGCGUGGCUUCCGGAGCUAACGCGUUAAAUCGACCGCCUGGGGAGUACGGCCGCAAGGUUAAAACUCAAAUGAAUUGACGGGGGCCCGCACAAGCGGUGGAGCAUGUGGUUUAAUUCGAUGCAACGCGAAGAACCUUACCUGGUCUUGACAUCCACAGA
rnacentral:rRNA from 1 species